rnacentral:rRNA from 1 species
AUUGAACGCUGGCGGCAGGCCUAACACAUGCAAGUCGAGCGAGCGGCGGACGGGUGUGUAAUGUCUGGGAAACUGCUUGAUGGAGGGGGAUAUCUACUGGAAACGGUAGCUAAUACCGCACAUCAUCAGAUGUGCCCACAUGGGAUUAGCUAGUAGGUGGGGUAACGGCUCACACCGGCGACGAUCCCUCGCUGGUCUGUGAGGAUGACAAGCCACACGGGAACUGAGACACGGUCCAGACUCCUACGGGAGGCAGCAGUGGGGAAUAUUGCACAAUGGGCGCAAGCCUGAUGCAGCCAUGCCGCGUGUGUGAAGAAGGCCUUCGGGUUGUAAAGCACUUUCAGCGGGGAGGCGUUACCCGCAGAAGAAGCACCGGCUAACGCCGUGCCAGCAGCCGCGGUAAUUC